AUUGAACGCUGGCGGCAGGCCUAACACAUGCAAGUCGAGCGGAAACGAGUUAUCUGAACCUUCGGGAACGAUAACGGCGUCGAGCGGCGGACGGGUGAGUAAUGCCUAGGAAAUUGCCCUGAUGUGGGGAUAACCAUUGGAAACGAUGGCUAAUACCGCAUAAUGCCUACGGGCCAAAGGAGGGGGCCUUCGGGCCUCUCGCGUCAGGAUAUGCCUAGGUGGGAUUAGCUAGUUGGUGAGGUAAGGGCUCACCAAGGCGACGAUCCCUAGCUGGUCUGAGAGGAUGAUCAGCCACACUGGAACCUGACGACACGGGUCCAGACUCCGUACGGGAGGCAGC
rnacentral:rRNA from 1 species